rnacentral:lncRNA from 1 species
UUGGGUUAACGACACAUUUUACCAAAUUAUUGAACUUAUUAAUUGGUUCUAUUAUUUGGGGUCUGUUCAUAGAACAUGUGCAGUAGUGAUAGACUCUCGCAUAUUUUUACCAAAACAUUAUACUAAAAUGUGUAUGUUUUUUUUUUUUCCUUUUUCGUUACUGUAUUACAUCUAUUAUUAAAAAAAAGUCAUAUGUCUAUCAUCUAUCUUUGUUCUACAAAAAAAUAAAAUUCACAUAUUUUUAAAAAAAUCUAUUUAAAAAAAAAUCUAUGUAUAUUUAAUCAAAGUUUAGAAUUUAUAAUUGUUUUAGAGAAUAUACACACUUUGACCCACUCCCCUUACCAAAAUUUCUCAACAACUUCAUAAACCAUAACCAAACAUAUAUAUAUCGUUCAUCCCAC